UUUUUUUUUUGUUUUAAUAUUCUUCAUAAUGGGAGUAUAUUUGUCUGACAUUUGUCUCUGGAGUUUUGGAGAGGCUAAGAUUAAGAGUGCACAGCUUCAACAGGCUAUACCGUCUGCCAGGGUCUCCAGUCUCACCCCCAAAUGCAUGAGUCAAGAACUGUCUGCUGCUUUCUGGGCUGCUAACCACACCAUGGAUUAUGUUCCUCAUAUCAUAAUCUUUUCUCAGGACAACCCCGAUGUAGGCUCCAGAAGAGAAUUCUGAUUUUCUAAUUCUUUGUCUUUAUACUAUCUCCACAAAUCAGAGCCCACAGGCCCCUGAAGUUCUAUAUAAUGAAACUUCCUAAAUCUGCAAACAUUAUCUCUUCUUUCCUUUUUGUCCUACCCAAAUCUUCAGGCACUAGCCUAUAUGCAAAUUACACUUGUAGACUUUAUGCUUAUUCAAGUUAAACAACAUACCGUAUUUUAAAUCAAAAAUUCCCAAACCAGCUGACAAACUGGCUUCCAUAAAGAGUGGCCCUAGGCUUGUUGGACAAGUGAACACUUGUUUAUAAACCCCCGCAGACCAUUUCAGUCAUAGAGAGACUCUUCAACUCUUAAAUAUUCCGGACUCUGGAUAACUAGGAACUAAAAUGUGGAAAAGAAAGUCCUAGUAAAGAGAUUUGGUUUACCAUGGGUUGUCUUAAGACUAUACUGGAGAUACCCUCGGUUUACUACUAGUUCCAACUUAUUAAAAAUAAAAUGAAUAUACUUUACAUUGAAAACAUAUGCCCUUCAUUUCCCUUUAAUGGGAUUAAGAGGUCAAAUUAAUCAUAAAUUAAAUCUGCCUAGAUAUAUAGAUAGACAUGGUGGUCAAAGGACAAAACUAUUUUUUUUAGAGAUGGAGUCUUGCUCUGUUGCCCAGGCUGGAGUGCAGUGACGAGAUUUUAGCUCACUGCAACCUCUGCCUCCUGGGUUUAAGCAAUUCUCCUGCCUCAGUUUCCCAAGUAGCUGGGACUACAGGUAUGUGCCACCAUGCCCAGCUAUUUUUUCUUUUUAAGUAGAAAUGGGGUUUCACAAUAUGUUGGCCAGGUUGGUCUCGAACUCCUGACCUCAGGUGGCCCACCCACCUCGGGCUUCCAAAGUGCUGGGAUUACAGGCAUGAGCCACCAUGCCUGGCCAACAAAACUCUAUUGGCAAGACCGUUUCUGGCAGUUGGUCAAUGUGGAGCAGGAAAGAGGCCGGUAUCUGAAUUAGUUGCUGUGGGGUUAGAUGCUGGGACUUGUGAUAUCCCGGGUACUCAGCUGAUCUGGGGGUCCGAGCAUGAGGUAUGUCUUACUGGGAACUGAAUGAAGUCAGGAGAAGGAUUUUCUUAGGAAAUUUUCUUUCCGUCUCCUCAGACAUAUUUGGGCACUUUUACCGUGUCUGUUUUUCCCUGUUUAGGGCCAGGUCUACACAGGGAAGAAGGCAUUUCUACAAUACUGUAUUCUUACCCUCAUCAGAGAAAUGCAGGGCUAGUCCCUCAGUUCUGAGAGUUUCCCUUUGAGUUUGUCCUCAGAUUACUGAGCUGGGGGUCAGCUAUGAAUCCAUGAAGCGCAUUUCUCAUACUGUGGAGCCCAAAGGGAGACCAGAGUACUUGCUUGGGGUAUAACAGAACUGGGCCCUGGAAGGCAGCUAGAGGUGAGCUUCCCCCGCUCUGUCUCUGUGGGUCGCCACACUUUGACCAGGGGCCCUGAUGUCCAUGCAACUCCAGCAGGGCGGAAGCUCAGGAAGGAGAUGGAAGCAGGAGGCAGAGCCCUGUGUCCGAGUGGAGGGAGACUGCAGGCACAGGUUAAAAGAAAAGCCAGUAGCUGGGGCCUGGAACAUCUAGGACAGAGGCAUCUAAGUUGCGUCCACAUUCACCUGGGCAGCAGUGGUGCCCCCAAAAGUGGAGACUGGAGACCACGGUAGAUUGAAACAGGUAUGUGACCAGAUGCCUCAACCUGGGAGAAUCCAUACUGUACCAGGUUGUGUUAACUCAACUUAGCCAGGACAAGAAAUUAUAUUUCUAAGAAUGCCUUUAUCUUUAUGAUUCUGGGUUACAGUUGGUCAAGGAGCUAUUUGUGUGAACUUUGGAAGGCAGAAGUAAAACUGUCACCACUAUACUUGGUAGGACAUUAGGCUAAAUGAGAUAAGCCAAUCACAAAAAGACAAAAAUCUGCAUAAUGUCAUUUACAUGAGUUAUCUAAAAUAGUGCAACUCAAGGAAGCAAAGACUAGAAUGGUGGUGGCCAGGGUCUGGGGAAUGGAGUAAAUGGGGAGUUGCUGCCAAUGUGUAUAAAAUUUCAAUCAUGCAAGAUGAAUGAGAUCUAGAGAUCUGCUGUACAACAUCAUGACCUCAGAUUAUAAAACUGUGCUCUGC
ensembl:lncRNA